rnacentral:rRNA from 1 species
GACGAACGCUGGCGGCGUGCUUAACACAUGCAAGUCGAGCGGUAAGGCCCUUUCGGGGGUACGCGAGCGGCGAACGGGUGAGUAACACGUGGGUGACCUGCCCUUAGCUCUGGGAUAAGCCUGGGAAACUGGGUCUAAUACCGGAUAUGACUCCAUGACGCAUGUUGUGGGGUGGAAAGCCUUGUGCGGCUAGGGAUGGGCCUGCGGCCUAUCAGCUUGUUGGUGGGGUGAUGGCCUACCAAGGCGACGACGGGUAGCCGGCCUGAGAGGGCGACCGGCCACACUGGGACUGAGACACGGCCCAGACUCCUACGGGAGGCAGCAGUGGGGAAUCUUGCGCAAUGGGCGAAAGCCUGACGCAGCGACGCCGCGUGGGGAUGACGGCCU